UACGUAGGGUGCAAGCGUUUGUCCGGAAUUAUUGGGCGUAAAGAGCUCGUAGGCGGUCUGUCGCGUCUGCUGUGAAAACUCGGGGCUUAACCCCGGGCCUGCAGUGGGUACGGGCAGACUAGAGUGCGGUAGGGGAGACUGGAAUUCCUGGUGUAGCGGUGAAAUGCGCAGAUAUCAGGAGGAACACCGGUGGCGAAGGCGGUUCUCUGGGCAUUACCUGACGCUGAGGAGCGAAAGUGUGGGGAGCGAACAGG
rnacentral:rRNA from 1 species